CACGUAGGUGGUUGAGUAAGUCAGAUGUGAAAGCCCCGGGCUCAGCCUGGGAACUGCAUUUGAAACUGCUUGGCUAGAGUCCGAUAGAGGGGGGUGGAAUUCCAGGUGUAGCGGUGAAAUGCGUAGAUAUCUGGAGGAACAUCAGUGGCGAAGGCGGCCCCCUGGAUCGAGACUGACGCUGAGGUGCGAAAGCGUGGGUAGCAAACA
rnacentral:rRNA from 1 species